rnacentral:lncRNA from 10 species
CAAAGUGCCCGGAUUACAGAGCUACAUGGCAUCCCGGUCUCAGGUUUUUUGGUGCAGAGAAGGAGGAAGAUGAAACCUGGCAGUUUUCUGCACUCAGUUGGACUGGAAGAUCCAUAGGUCCUAUGAAAUUCCUGAGCCUCUGUCACUGAGCAGAGAUCUCGCAUUUCCUGCACAGGAAGCAGCUUCUGUCCUGAGAGGUAAUUGAUUGUUAGCGCUGGGGAGGUUUUCUGGGCCACCUGCAGCAAAUUUACCAUAUACUUAAUGCAGCUAUACUCUCAACCAAACGGGAAUUAUGGGCCAGGAAGAAAAAUCUUAAAUGCAUCAUUGACUUUCAGGUAGCUGUUCUUGCAUGCAGUGGUACUCAAGAUGACUGUGAUGUUCCAUUUGGCCUUCCACCCUGUUGUCCUUGACACCAGCAGUCUCUACUCCUGUCCCUUGCUUCCCUUCCUUCUCCUCUCAUUUUUUUACUUAGUGUCUAGAAAAGUAAAAUCAAGGGAUGACAGGACUGAGAAUCUCUAGCUUUCCAUGGCUGCAUCGGAUCUGACCCCUAAACGGACUUGACCGUGAUUCCUGCCUGAGGUUAAGUACACGUCAACUUAGCAGAGGAAAGAACAACCACAUCGAUCAAAGCACAUUUGAGGGGAGUUUGCCAGAAAUGACAUCAUCUCUGGGCAACGUCAACUUCAGCACCCAUCUCCACAGCUGCUACUAUCUGCAAAAUGCAGUUAAGACUGAUUGAUUAUCAUGUCACAGAUCAUAAAUCGGAAUUGCAAUUCACAUGCAGAAGGGAAGAAGCUAUCUUACUUGUCAUCUCGAUGGAAAGUUGCUUUUGCUUAGGAUUUAUUCUUUUAUCUUUUUUUCCCCUGACUUUCUGAAUAGGUGAGGACACAGAUUUCAGCGUGCCUUUUUUGAUCGUUUGGGCUUUUUUGAUCUUUUUUGUUGUUGCUUUUUCCCUUUAUGUUUUAGGUUAACUCACUGCAAGAGAGGUGGCAAAACGGGGAGAGUUUAAAUGUCCGAUGCAUCAGAAAUCCAAGCUCUGAUUCAAAGAGACAUUCUGAUGAGUAGUUUUCAAACAAUGAUCUGAGAGCCCUGGAGCUCUGAUGGGGCAUCUCCUGGCCACUGGGGACUGGGAAGGGGCAGUACGAAGCAGCAGAAUUCUAGAUGCCCGUGCCUGCUUCACUUUACCAAUCCUAUUUGAUAUAUCAGACUCCCA